rnacentral:rRNA from 1 species
GACGAACGCUGGCGGCGUGCUUAACACAUGCAAGUCGAACGGAAAGGCCCUGCUUUUGUGGGGUGCUCGAGUGGCGAACGGGUGAGUAACACGUGAGUAACCUGCCCUUGACUUUGGGAUAACUUCAGGAAACUGGGGCUAAUACCGGAUAGGAGCUCCUGCUGCAUGGUGGGGGUUGGAAAGCUUCGGCGGUUGGGGAUGGACUCGCGGCUUAUCAGCUUGUUGGUGGGGUAGUGGCUUACCAAGGCUUUGACGGGUAGCCGGCCUGAGAGGGUGACCGGCCACAUUGGGACUGAGAUACGGCCCAGACUCCUACGGGAGGCAGCAGUGGGGAAUAUUGCACAAUGGGCGGAAGCCUGAUGCAGCAACGCCGCGUGCGGGAUGACGGCCUUCGGGUUGUAAACCGCUUUCGCCUGUGACGAAGCGUGAGUGACGGUAAUGGGUAAAGAAGCACCGGCUAACUACGUGCCAGCAGCCGCGGUGAUACGUAGGGUGCGAGCGUUGUCCGGAUUUAUUGGGCGUAAAGGGCUCGUAGGUGGUUGAUCGCGUCGGAAGUGUAAUCUUGGGGCUUAACCCUGAGCGUGCUUUCGAUACGGGUUGACUUGAGGAAGGUAGGGGAGAAUGGAAUUCCUGGUGGAGCGGUGGAAUGCGCAGAUAUCAGGAGGAACACCAGUGGCGAAGGCGGUUCUCUGGGCCUUUCCUGACGCUGAGGAGCGAAAGCGUGGGGAGCGAACAGGCUUAGAUACCCUGGUAGUCCACGCUGUAAACGGUGGGUACUAGGUGUGGGGUCCAUUCCACGGGUUCCGUGCCGUAGCUAACGCUUUAAGUACCCCGCCUGGGGAGUACGGCCGCAAGGCUAAAACUCAAAGGAAUUGACGGGGCCCCGCACAAGCGGCGGAGCAUGCGGAUUAAUUCGAUGCAACGCGUAGAACCUUACCUGGGUUUGACAUGGAUCGGGAGUGCUCAGAGAUGGGUGUGCCUCUUUUGGGGUCGGUUCACAGGUGGUGCAUGGCUGUCGUCAGCUCGUGUCGUGAGAUGUUGGGUUAAGUCCCGCAACGAGCGCAACCCUUGUUCACUGUUGCCAGCACGUUAUGGUGGGGACUCAGUGGAGACCGCCGGGGUCAACUCGGAGGAAGGUGGGGAUGACGUCAAGUCAUCAUGCCCCUUAUGUCCAGGGCUUCACGCAUGCUACAAUGGCUGGUACAGAGAGUGGCGAGCCUGUGAGGGUGAGCGAAUCUCGGAAAGCCGGUCUCAGCUCGGAUUGGGGUCUGCAACUCGACCUCAUGAAGUCGGAGUCGCUAGUAAUCGCAGAUCAGCAACGCUGCGGUGAAUACGUUCCCGGGGCU